ensembl:lncRNA
GCAGAGUGAUUCCAAUUAACAACAUGGAAACACAGUUUGGUUAAUUUUGAACCUACUUAAACAUCAAAGGUUCAAAAGUUCACUGCAAAUGUUCCUGGAUUACAUUAUUUCAGAGAGGAAGAGAAAGGAAAAAAAAAUUAUUUCCAAAGCUGUACAGUAUAUACUGCAUAUCAUAUGAAAUAUGAACUGGUUGGGGAAGAUGUUGAAAGCAGUGGACUGGGAUCCAGGGGAUGUAGAUUAAAUUCCUUGUCUCUGCUGCAAACUUCCUGUGUGGCCUGGAGCAAACUGCAGCACUUGGUCUGCGUUUUAGUUUCAGACACGUGUGUGGGGUGCAGCUAAUGAGCCCUUUCUCCUGCCCUUUGUCUCCUUACUCUUCUUAGAGAUGUUCUUUAGAGAAGGUCUGCAGAGAUUCUCUGGGGCACAUGGAAGUUUCAACGGGAGGCCCAAAACGCAGUAAGGUGUGUUUCUUUAGUGAAGAGAAGCUAGAGAACUUAAUCUCAUAUCACAGAGCAGAUUGCUGAUGCACAAAGAGGAAAACAUCUCAGCCAGAAAAACUUCCUAGGCCAUGGCAGUAAAAUGGACAGAGAAGAGAGUCACCAGAAAGGAAGCGAGGAAACCAGAAACAAGACCACUGACACUUUGUUUCAUCCAAGGAAGUGGCAAAUCCUUUGACCUCCAAAAGGCAAACACCACCAGGAACUGCUCAGGGAACUUAGAAAGCUCAGCCUUCAAUCAAAUUGGCUUGAAACUGGCUAACUGAUUCAGAAGUUACUGGGAAGACACAAAGGUACACAAGUACAGUGUGAUAAUACAACCUCUGCUUGUUAUCAAAGCCAGGCUAAAAGAUAGUCUGAUUACUCCAAAGAAGAUAACAGAAACUGUCAGGAAUUGAUUGUUAUUUAUGGUCUGAUUUCAAGGUAGACUCUAAUUUACUUAAAAUACAUAUAUAUAUAUAUAUAUAUUUCAAAUCCAAGUUUGCACCCUGUAGACGUUUUAAAUAGUUAUGAAUUUGAAGAACUCUAAAUUUGCAGGAUUUGUUGAGAUUGAUUUGGAAGAAAACCUAUAAAAUUUAGAAACUAUGCAUUUCUUUUGACAACUAAUAAACUUGUAACUUCUAAUAACAGUGGGUCUCAAGCAAUCAAAAUAUAGCACUUUAAAAUACCUAUUUUAGCUAUUUUGUAGUACAAGAGUUUAGGAAAAAAAGUAUAUUAUUCCACACUAAAUGUUAUUAAAUGAAUGAUUCUCUAUGAAAACCAAAACCCUAAGGGAUUUUGUAUUAGAUUUGCAUAAAAAAAUCUUCACAUUUAUUCAAACUUUGCAGGUGCAUGAAAUAAACACAUUAUUUGAACACUACUGCCAAGCUUUGUGAAGGCUAAGGUGUAUUAUUAAAUUGUAGUGAAGCCUCUGGCUCAAGACACCAGAAACACUAGCACAACUCCAUUCAGUCAUUAGCACUGUGUUGGUAAAAAAAACUGGUUCACCAUCUAGAUGAAUAAUUCUCUGUGCUUUCAUCUCUGCCAUGCUGACUUGCUUUACUAAUUUGUUAUCCUCUUGAACGUUCAGAGGCAUUUUCACUUUUCUGUAUUUUCUAUCUUACAUUGCUUUCUGUUAAGUACCUGUAAGUGAUUCACUGGGGGAUGACAUAAGGUUUUUUCUGAAAUUGAACUAUUGCUUUGUUUGCUGUAGAGAAUAUUAAAUUAAAUCAGCUUCUAAGACAAAAAUGAGCAGUUCGUAUAAAACUUGCUCUGAAAGGUUAAUGAAUAUCAGAAAUCCUCCCAAGUGAAGGAAGGGAGACUAUACCUAGCCAAUAUAAAACUUAUGCAGCAAAACCUGCUCCUUUAAUGUAAUUCUUCUGAUUUCAGUGAGGUUACACUCAGAAUAAAUUUGACCUGAAUUAAUCAAACCUAUCCUAUUUUCAGGAGAGGUCCAAUAUCCAACAAGGAAACAAUACCCUUCACACGCCAGUAGUUUAUUGGCAAAGUCAAGGUCAUUGUGUGGUCAUAAAACAGUAUGGCUUAUUUCUGCUAUGACAUCUGUUUGACUAGCUCAAACCAAAAUUUUUUAUUAAGGCAUUUGAGGAGUAUAAAAUAUACACAAAAACUGAAAGCUACUACAAUAAGAGGAAAGUUCAUUGUGGAUUAAAUUAAUUCUGUAUUUAAGAAAAAAAUGUGAAUGAAUGAUGUUUUUGAUACCUUACAAGUGUUAGUUAUUAACCAGAGAGUGAGAUCAGUUCUCAUAGGAGAGUAACAGUCAGACCAAAAGAUGACAACACAGAAAUGUAACCUGUGCGUUUACCAUUCAGUCUUUUAUAAAAGGACCAGAAAAUAACUCUGGGUGCAAUUUCAUUUUAUUUAUUUAUUUUUUUAAGAAAUUCAGCAGUUGAGGUGUUCAGAGGCAGGAAGACAAUGAGACAAUUUGUAGCAAAUGACAGAUAAACCAUAAUUCUUAGAAAACAUAAUUGGAGUAACUUCGGUGACCUUUUCUAUACAAAGCUGAUCCUUUAUGUGGAAGACAUCUGUAUUUCCUUUGAGAAGAGCACCUGGAGGAAUUAAGCUCCUAUUUAAGAUACCUCAUCUGAAAGCCUAAAAAGUGAGCGCAUCCUGACCAGUGCAUCCUUUUGCCUUCACUGUGCAAACUUACUUUUCAUGUUUUUACAGAGUUAUUUUAGAUUUAUAUACAAAUAUGAAGUGCAAAAUGAAUGUAACCCAGCAUGUUUAUCCUAUUCAUAGUGUUGGAUGAGGCUCCGCUACAUCUAUGCUUCAGUAAAGAUUGUUAAUUUGGUAAAACUUUCAAGAUCAUGAAACACUGUCUGUGCACUGAGCCAAGCAGUCACAAAGCCUACAUCCCUUACAGAGCACAGCACAAGGGCAGGAUGGUGUUACAGCAGAAUACCACUGCACCAUUGUCAUACUUGCGCACUCCUUGCCAGGUAUCUGCCAGAAAGACCUGAGCCUGGGUUGCACUGACGUGUGUGCUGUCAUAGUUCAACCUGUGUUCUGUUUUGUUUUGGUUUUGUUUGUGGGUUGGUUUUUUUGUUUGUUUGUUUGUUUUGUUGUUGUUGUUUCAAUUUUUUUCUUUUGUUUGUUUUACAUUUUAAUGAAAGAAAAGCGUCCAAAUCUUCCAAUUCAAUUUAAAGAGUGGAUGAUAUGGGGUUGGAGGAAUACCCACAGCUAGACAUUGCUAAGGCUAUGAGGAUGUGAGGAGGAGAAAGGCCAAAAGCAAUGCUAGACAUAAGGCUGCCAUUUAAAACAUGUUGGUAUUAGACAACAGUCAUGAAGGGUAUCUCUUAGGCCAAGUCAUAUCUCUGUGCCAGGAGACGUUUACAUGAUACUUGUCAAGUUCCUUCAUCAGUUCUUGGAGUCAAUGCAGUUUCUUGGAAUCAGUGCAGUUUUAAGUUAUCCAGUGUAAAGAGAAUUUUCCUCUCUUUCUGGUGUAGUCUGGUGUAGCUCAGCAAACACUCCCACACUGCAUCUGGGGUAUCACUCCAUGCAUUCUUCCUCUCAGUCUCAUACUGCUGUAUGGGGAGGAGGAUUCAGCAGACAUUGGAGGUCAACUUCUUAUGGAACAACACAGUCACCACCAUUAACUAUGCAUUUUCACCAAAGGUGAACAAAAGCCUGCAUGUCGUGCUCAUCAUAAUCUGCACCAGCGGAGGUUAACCACUGUCAUCAGGGGACUAAUGUUUAGCCAGUGUAUCAAAAUCCAUAAACUUAUUUUCAAUAACCUGAGCUGGUACUGCACUGCCCUCUGUGCCCUGGUUUCAGCCCAGAUGGGGUUAAGAGCACACUGAUGAUCAGUUGGUGCUGAAGGCCAGGCCAGGCAGAGAAUAGCCACCCUGUGAUGGCACGAGUCAGGGGGCAGCCGCAGCAUGAGCUGUGCUGGGCUAAAUGUGGCCUGCAAGCCACAGCGUGGACAUGCCUGACUAAACAGACAAGGUACCCCUUUCCUCUUGUCUCUUUACCACUCUUCGCUGUCAGAUCAGAAACAAAAUACAUUAGUUGGUAGCCUGUGUUUUCCUAUCCUGAAAAGAAAUACAUUAGAAAAUGGAGUAAAAAGUAUGAGUAAAUGUUUCUCAUUGUGCUAUUUGUAUUCUGUCUUUUGCAGAGUAUAUUAUAAUGGAUAAAAGGAAUAUUACAUCACCAGAGGCAGAAAUUCAGUGCAUGGUUCACUGCAGAUUACAGAGCCUGAAAAAGCAAAACAAAGACAGUAAACAUGUUGCCUUUUGUUCAUACAACAUAACUAUAGCAGCAAUGACUAGUGGGAAAUUUCUCAACUAACCCUUCAAAUGUAUAUACAUUUUAUAAGCUUCUUGAAAAUUACAGUAAACUUGGAGAAUACUAUUUCUGCAAGCUUUUUGUACUUGAGUAACUCAACGACAGCAUCUUUAACAGAUUUUUACUGGCAUAUUAUAAAUGAUGAAUAUAUAUUAUAUCAACACAAAUGCCAAGAAAAAACAACAGAAACAACACAGCCCUCCCACCCAAAUCACAUAAUAUAAAGGCAAAUAGCAUUGCUUCCUCCUCACCAGAACUCAGUUGCAUGAUGUGCUUACAGGAAUCAAGCAAAACAGUGAUGUUCAUAUAGUUCAUACAAUUUUGAGUAUCAUAGAUAUGAGCAAGCUGAUUCCAGCUGAGACAUAAACUAUAUUCCCAUGUUUCUGUAUUCACACUAGGCUGGGCAAUCUGAGUAUUACUGUUGUGAUAUUGAGUCUUCUCAAUCGUAGUAAAAUUUUAAGUUCAUUUUUUUCUAACUGGAAUUCCUUCUGAUUUUUGUUCUUAAUUGAAAGAAAGCUAAAGCCCCACAAAUAAUUCUUCUCUACCUAGGUUAAGGCACUUGUUUUUUUUAUCUCAUUACAGAUUUGUAAAAGUAAUUAUUAACACUGCUUUCCUGCUUCUGUUUUAGGAACUAAGAAUAAAUUCCUGCUUACCGUUACAGCAGGAGUGGAGAGAAAAGCAUAUUUAAAAUCAGGUGAAAAAUAUGAGAUACAAAGGAAGACAGAGUUUGUUCUGCAACUGGCUUUACUGGUCUCUUCUAGGAGUUGCCCAAGUCUCCCUGUCUCAGCCUGAAUUCCAGGGGGAUGCCAUGCCACCAUAUCUACACAAAUAAUUGUGCUGUUUCCUUCACCUCAUUUGCAAUGUCACCAGAGGUCUGCAGUUUCCCAUUUUGAUCAAUCCUUCUUUUGAAUUAUCAUGCUCAGUUAGGGCUGUUGCCUGGGGUUAAGCAAGAACAUUUCCUAUUGUGCAGGUCCUCUUCCCAUCGUCUAGUGUGGAUGGUAGACACAGUAACCACAGGUUGCAGCAAAACAUUGGAUGAACAGAUAAUACUUGAGUAUUGAAGUUAAAAACAUGAAAAUUAGUCUCAAUCUUUCACUAUUAAUUUUCCUCCCCCCCCCCAAAAAAAAAAGAAAAAAAGAAAAAAAAAGAGUUUAUUGAGCUGCAAGCUGCAGGUGUCUUGCUUUUAAAUUGAGCUUUCAUUGCACUUUAUAUUUGUCCUUAGGUGGAUAACCUCUUUGCUCCAUAUAAAGACCCUACAAGUGAAAUUUUCACACUGUGCCAUUUUAAAAAAUUCUUCACUCUCAUCUUUCAAAUGUCUGUUUAGAGCUAGUCAUGCUAAAGCUUCUACUACUAAUCAAUGCAGAGAGCAUGUUCUGGUCAUUCACUGUGUCACCACUUUAAAAGGAGAAAAAGACAAACUACUGACAUCUUCAUAACAAGUUACACCAAACUGUAAAUCAGAGGAAAAUUAUUCAUGCUGUGUUCUGGAUGUGACAGAUUUAACUUCAGCCCAGGUUCUCUCUCAUGCUCCACCUGAAUUGUAAAGCAGAUAUCUCAAAUCUAAAAAUUCUUGACAGAGAUAAAAGAGAAAAACUACUCAUGCCAUCAGUGUGGACCAGAAUAUCAAAACACUUUCAGAUUUGCAGGAUAACCAAGACGGGUAUGUUCUACCCAUUCUUAUUCAUUUCUCCAGGUACCAGCACCCAGAUGCAGUAAAGGAGAAAUGAGUCAUGAAAACCCAACCCAUGAAAACCCAACCCAUGAAAACCUAGGCAUUAGGACAGAACAAAGAACAGUAUUUCUUUUGUACUGGGAAGUUAGAAGAGCCAUAACUCUAAUUUUUGCAGCCGGAGUGUCACCAAACAAAAGAGAAAAGAAAUGUUUAUUUGUUUUGUUUUGUUUACUUUCCUAAAUAAGUACUGGAUCUGUUAUUUCUAUCUUUUUUUACAGUAUUUGUGUGGCCUUCUUUGUCAUUUUCACAUGUUGAAAAUAUUUACAAAUAGAAAUAAUAUGCACUACUCCAUGUGACACAGCUUUCCUGUUAAUGAAUUGAUUUUCAAGAUCACACAAGAUGGUUUUUCUUUGGAUAUUUCAUUCCAAAACCCAGGCAAGUGACCCAGUACUCCCACCAAUAUCUCACUGACAGUCAUCCCACCUCAUGAAUAUACAUACACAAGCUAGCCCAGACUACCUACCUCUUAUCUUGCCUUUUCACCAGUGUUUCUGAACUUGUUGAACCUGUCUAGGUUAGAGUGAAACAGGUAAGGAAAUUACCUAAUUUAUAUUGUCUGGCUGUAUAUUUUCUAAGUCUGAAACAAACAAAUAUUUUAUUUUCAAUGACUUUUGAAUGAUUUUUAGUAUCAUUUUCAUGCUUCCAUUUUAUUUCAAGAUGCACAUGAUUUGCUAUAUUUCUGGAAAUAUGGAUAAGCAGUAAUAAAAACUAUUGUCCCAGGGAAAAACAAUAGCUAAAGCAUCUAGUAAUGAAAGAGACUGAAACAGAUCACCAUUGUCAAUCUAUCUUCAGGUAAUUCUCUCUUACAGGAAAUGUGGCUUGCUGAAUUAAUGAGCAACUCCUGGGAUUUUGGUUGGGCAAUCCAAGCCAAUAUCUAUGCUGGUUAAGAUCUUCACUGUCAAUGAAAACAGGAUUAUAUUUUGGAUUCACAGUCUGAACUAAAAACACCAAAGUAGAUGCCAGUGUGUUUGGAUCAGGCAAGUGUUCCUUCUUGGCACCCCCUUUUCUCCACUUUGAAAAUAAAUUUCAGUUUCAGUUUUAUACUAGACAAUUUCUUCGCUGCUACUCACCACAGUUUUCUGUUUCCUUAGAAAGGACAUAAUGCCCUGAGAUACACAGUCAUUGAUGACACCCUCUUUCCUGAACAUAAGCCUUAUGAUGUGCAAGAAUUUUUAACAGUGACCUCUGAAUUGGAAACAUAUUCAAAAAUAGAGACACAGAAUGAGGUAUGACCCUAGAGAUGUAUACACAUUCUUUUCUUCAGUUAACUGUUACUCUGUGGUCUUCAGGAGGAUAUUGAUGUGAAAAGGUUAUUCGUGUGCAUAAGUAUCUGUAGCUGAGCCAGACUUACAGAGUGUAAAGAUGUGCAAGCCUGGUUAUAGGAAUGGAGCUUCACCUCUCUGGCCUUCACUUCAUUCUUAGUGGAGAGAAAGAUGCAAUUCCAGAGGACAAAUUGUGCCAUUCAUAUCAGCUUGGAAUGUGUUACUAACCCGUCUGGAACUGAAUAUAUGAAAGUACUUAAUUACUGUUUCAUCUUACCGAAUCAGCCUGUUUGUCAAUCCUUGGGAAGGUAAAUCCUGUAAAGCUCCUGAUAUUUUAAAUUUCUGAGUAGAUUCAGAAGACUCACACAAAAUUUCUACUAAAAAUCCCUGUCUUUCAAAUGUCCUUCGACAUACAUACAUUUGUUUUAAAUACAUUUGUACAAAGCAGAAUAACAGACUAAGAGAUACUUUGCCAGACAACAAUAAUUUUCCUUGGGCCAGCAUUUUAAAAUGAACUGUAAAUAUAAUUCUGAAUCUCAGAAUUAUCUUAUUUGAAUCUGCAUACCUGCAGUUCAACAGAUCAACAUGAUUAAAUGGAUCCAUGAUAUAUAUAUCCACUGAUAUACUGUUCUGAAUAACUUCAACUGACAUUGACCUUUCUUUAGCUUUUUUUUUUUUCUGUUUCUUUGUGAUAUACUUUGAUCAUAUGUAAGAAUAUACUUUUUUUUAAGGCUUUCAAUUACAAUACAGAACUAUUAUUAUUAACUAAUUAAUUUCAUAGAAUAGAAUCAUAGAAUGAAUCAUAGAAUGGUUUGGGUUGGAAGGGACCUUUAAGAUCACCUAGUUCCAAUCCCCCUGCUGUAGGCAGGGAUAUGUCCCUCUACACCAGGUUGUUCACAGCCCCAUCCAGCCUGGCCUUGAAUGCGUCCAGGGAAGGGUCAUUCACAACCUCACUGGGCAACCUGUUCCAGUGUCUCACCACCCUCACAGUUAAGAAUUUCUUCAUAAUAUCUAAUCUAAAUCUACCCUCUUUCAGUUUAAAACCAUUUCCCCUCAUCCUGUAGCUCUUACAAAAAGUCCCUCCCCAGCUUUCCUGUAAGCAUACUUCAGGUACUGGAAGGCCACUAUAAGGUCUCCUCAGAGCCUUCUCCAUACUGAAGCACCCCAGCUCUCUCAGGCUGUCCUCAUGUGGGAGAUGUUCCAGCCCUCUGAUCAUCUUCAUGGUCCUCCUCCGGACCUGCUCCAAUACAUUUCAUAUAUUUACUCUUAUUCUUACUUACUACAUCUUACACUGGCUUUUUCUUUUUCUUCCCUUUAAUCUCCAAGGUUCAGGCCCUCUUAUAGCAAUGUAAGAAAGCAUUUAAUACAAUACUUUAAUCAUCACUUGGGGUAAUGUUUUCAAACUAAAAGGUAGGAGAUUUAGAUUACACAUCAGGAUUUCUUUUUUCUCAGAGGGUGGUGAGGCACUGGCACAACUGCCCAGAGAAAUUGUGAGUGCCCCAUCCCUGGAGGUAUUGGAAACCAAGUUAGAUGGGGCCUGGGCAUCUGAGCUGGGGGGUGGCAGCCAUGCCCAAAGCAGAUGUUGGAACUAGGUAGACUUUAAGGUUCUUUCCAACCCAAGAUAUUCUAUGAUUCUGUGAUAAAAUACCAAUUUUCAAUUUGUUUUUAGUAUGCAAUUAUAUUACAGCAAAAGCCUAUUAAAAACUUUGAGAUAUAAUUUAUUUUUAAUAACAUUUUUUGAUAUGUGAUUAGCCCACAGUUGUUUUUCUCGCCAACAUUCUUUUUUUUAUUAUUAUUAACAAUCAAAAAGAUAAUAAGAAUCCUAUGGAACUGGUGGUCUAAAAGAACUGUAUAUAACUUCAAGUUUACACACUACAUCUAACAGAAACACUGAUUCACAUUUGGCAAAUGCAGCCAACUCUCAUUUAUCCUUAAGCAGGUAAUGUGCUCUGUUGAUCAUCCGUGCUAGGGAUACAAAACAUCAAGUCCAGCAGAGCAUUUAGUGAUACACGAAGCACAUUGUUAAUACAGCUGUACUGCUUCCAGGGCUGGAACAGACCCAGAUGUACACCUACUUUCCCACAGAGCUUUGAGUAAUAGGCUCAAUGGAUCCAAGUUUUAUCUGUGCAUGAGUUAAAGUUCACAAUCAAGAAUUCUGGAGAAUAGCCUGAGUCUUGCAAGCCCAGCACUGAAACAGGAUUUGUAACAUUGGCUGGCUCCUUGCAAUGGUACUUCUGCAUUAUAUUGUACAGACCCUGAUCUACUUGUUUUAUUCAUUCUUUUCCAUUAUGUAGCACAGCUGAGCUGUCUGUUACUCUGGAUUCUAUCAAGAUGUAAGAAGCAGUAUGAACACUGCAUAGAGAUUGUGUGAUCGUAUUCCAUACUUAGCACAUGACAGAUAGGGAAAAGUUUUCCAUGCUGUAUUGAACAACAGCCAAGGAACUAAUCCAAAGUCUACUGAAUCAGUGGGUAUCUUCUUGACUUAGAAUAUGCAGCCAGAGAAAUGCUUCAAUAGCCUGAGAGAGAUGUGUGCUCUAAGGGAGUCAAAGCAAAUGUUUUAAGAGAUUAAUUGCUCUAAUCAGUAAAUUCCACAGUAAAUAGAUACUAUUUAAUGACUGCAGAUGUUGCUUUGUGAACUCCUGGAGUAAUUGGGGUGGUGCCUAAAAAGCUGUCUCAUCGGUUUUAUACUUGAAUUUUAUUGGUAGUUGAGUGUUUUUUCAAUAGGAACAACUAUUUAUAUCAGUUAUUUAGUAUGCAUACCUUACAAAUGAAACAGAUUAAUGUUAGUCAGUCAUAAUGUAAUUUUAAAGUAAAAUUCCUUGUAACAUUAGUCCACAGACCACCUCUAAAUUAAUAUCUGUGUUGAAAAUGUAAUUGAUUUUCUUUUUGUCUGUCAACAUUACCAUCAAUUUAGCCCUCCUGGAAGAGAAACUGAAGUUUCUUACUUAGAAGGACAGUAAGAAAAAUCAGCAACACUUCGCAGUCAAGGAGAAGGGUCAUUUAUUUUUUUCAUGCACGUUAUCCUUCUUACAGUCACAAAGAAAUAUACUACACUAAAACUGAAAUGAUCUGUUGCUAGUGUUUAUUGCUCUUUUCUACAGAUUUUAUUGGAUCUCUACAAGGAAUACGAAAUCAUUCAGCAACAGUUUCAGAGGUGCCAAGUUAUGCAGCAUAAAUAGAUUAAUUCAAUUGUGUCUCUAUUGCUGUGAUUGUAGGAACCAAGUUAUCCUAAAUUAUGAACAAGCUUGAGUGACACAAUAGUGCAGUGUCCCCUGAAUCAUUUAGGACACCGACAAAGCACAGACAUCAUCAGACAUCAGUUUGGGUCCUGCUGAGUGCACUGUAGCAUUGAUGAGACCACUACUUAGGAUGCCAGCAACAUCCUCCCUUUUUCUUACCAGGGCUGGCCCCAGCACAGGAGCCUCCUCAUCCCUACAGGAAGAGAGCAAGGACAGAUGCUCUUCCUGGAGUUAGUUUGGAUCAUGCACAGCAGAAGCUCCACUGGGCCUGACACUUGUUAAGGAGAAUUUCCCUUCCUUGUCUGAUUAGCAAUUCCUGAAAUAGAAACAUAUACAUUUCCACAGAAAAAUAAUGUGAUGUCUCCAAAAUUCACCACUCCAGAAUGGUAGCAAGUAGAAAUAAAAGCAAUAGGUGGGACACUGCACUUUAGCUAAUAAAUCUGUCUGAGCCAAGAUUGCUGUAAGUUUUGGAUUAUGGAUCUGUGACCUGCAUAACUCGAUGUUAAUCAAAUGCAAGUUUAUCAUACAACUCCAACAUAAAAAUCGUUGAUGUUCAAGUAAGAACAACACAAGUGUACGGCAUUAGAAGUGUAUUAAGUAAAAAACAGGGAAAAAAUUAAAAUGGAAUUCUCUCCAAGAGGCAUUCUUUGAGUCGUCUCAAAUUACAGAAGAUGGAGGGCUCACCUUCCUCUACAUCUGUGUAGUUAAAUUUGUAGACUGUAAAUAUUCUCUCAGGUUGCUAAGUGAGUUUAUUUUGCACCGUUCCUGGCAUAAAACCAUUCACCAGCUUUUCUGUAAAGUCAUGUGCUUCAUGACUAGCAAUCCCCAAAGCCCAGAUUUUUGUAGCUGGAUUAUAGCCUGUUUGGCAAAUUAAUAUCCUGUGAUAUAGUUAUGAGGAAAAGCCGGACUGCCACAGACAGGCAAGUUUUCACCCUUUUGACCACCUCAGUCUCCAGCUUCCUGCUUACCAAAUAUGCUAUGUGUCUAGAGAUCUAUUCUCCUGUCAGCACCAGCAAAGCAGGGAUUAAGAGCUUUUUUUCAGUCAGUCUCCAUGGCAUCCUGUAUAUUUUGGAGAAAAUCUUUUGUCGUAGCAACUGAAAAGAGAGAGCCACAAAGGUGCUGUGAGUAUGGUGUGAUGCACUCAACCUUUUUGCUUGGUGCUUUCAUAUAUAUGGAAGACUUGGCCUUGUAACUGACAUUACAUUUCCUGAAUUAAUUUUGUUUCAUACUUCCUUUGAUUCCACAUGGUUAAGGCAUUCUGACCGCUGUUGUACUGUGAGCUGACAAGCUUUACAAAAUAACACUAGUCCUCAAAAACAUUUCUUGUGCAUCAACAGCUGAAUUACCUACUCUUUUCUGUACAGAGAUGCACUCUCUUAUACUCUAAGUAAUCUCUGAAAUAUCAUCUGAAUGCUGGAUAUCCUGAGUCAGUCUAUUACUCUAGUUUUAAGGAUUUCCACUCCGAGGAAUGAAAUGCCUUUGAAUUUUCCAAUUAUACUAAGACCACCUUUAGCAAAGGCUAGGUUAAGAUGAAAGAAAAAUGAAUAAUGCAUUUACCAAAUACAAAUAACAAAUUUGCAGAAGCUUUAGAAACAGAUGAGUGGAAGUGAAAACAGAAGCACGCACAUAUCUACAGCUUAGAUAAGCUCCAAAGGUUUCUCUUACCCUGCAGGAUGCAGCUGACAAGCUGAUUAGAUGCUUCAUGGCCUUGUCAGUCUCAUUCUAUGCAAAUCCUAUGUCCUUAACUUGCCUCACAGAAGUCUGAAUUUGCCAGCUUCUGCUCCUUUUUAAGCCCCCAACUUUUUUUUUUUUUUUUUUAGGGGUGGGGGGGAGGGGGCGUUGAUUAAAUGUGGCUUCAGCUUCAUCCUCUCUCCUUCUAUUCUUCAAGCAUUUUUUAUUGAUAGCUUCCAAUAAGAGGUAGUUUCAAAUUUCCUUCCCCGGAACUACUGGCUUUCUCCUUCUGCUUUGGAAAUUCUUAUAUUCCUUGGACAUGCCCAGACGAGGGCAUUGCUUUCUCCUAAACUCAGUGGAAUGUGCUAAUGACUGAGCCCUGCAAAGGGAAGUACUUCAUUAUUAUUCAAAUGCUGGAGCGGAGCCUUCACCAAAACCUUAUGUUUUCAUUUAAAUAUAUAGUUCUGCAGUUUUAUCACCAGAGUUAUCAUAGAGAAAUCAUUACUGGGUUUAAUUUGAAAGUAGAUAAAGUGGCAAGGUUCUGGAAUAUUGAUGGGUUUGAGGGAACACUAAGUCCUAAUCUUGUUAUUGAGCAGUACUAAGACUCAUUUAUUCUCUUCAUGUUAAAGCAAGGAGUGUCUGCAUUUUCCUCCUAUUCCUUUUCUUUGGUAACCUCAGUCUGCAAUUAUAAACUAUCUAUAAAUAAAAUAUUUGUUGAAAUAAAUAUGAGUCAUUAUCUCCCAGAUUUGAGAAUUCCUAUACAAACCUCCAUAAAUAUCUUGGUAGGUUUUCCAAUAGCCCUUGCUGCUUUUACACGAGACAUUCAGAGGAUACCUAAAUCUAGGUGAGAAGGAAAUUAUUCACCUAACUGUGAGGCCAAGAGAAUACGUGCUUUAUACAUAGCUAAAUAGAAAUGGCUGAUAUUAUAGUUAUAUAAUAUAUGUAUCAGCUUGCUGUAAAACAUAAGUGCUAAAGAAAAAGUUAACAUCAGAACCACCAAGCCAGCUGGAUGAUGAAAAAGCAGCUUCAGCCAACACCGGAUCCAGCAGAGCUGUUGAAAGAUCAGGUUGAGUUCAUAAUGAAGUCACCAGAUUAUAAUCUCUUUUAAAUUUUGGAUAAGGUAUUUGGAUGGAUGAGGUAAAAGGAGGAAAUAUAACACAGAUUUUAAAAAGUUUUGGGUGACAUCAUGGGGGGAAUGCUCACAUUGAAAAUUGAGUAUGUAAUAGAAUUAACAGUAGCAGAAUGUGUUGGGGAUUGAUUGGCUAUGUUAUCCACUCACUGUGUGUGGAAGAAAUACAAAUGCAGUAUGACUGAUCAGCCCCCUGAAUAAAUAAUGAGUUUCCAGUACUCUACUGGUGUAUUUCAUAGAUCUGUUUCUAUCAAGUUCAACUAUACAGAAGCAUCUGAGUUCAGAGAUGAUUACCGAAAAAGGAACAAGUAAUAUCAAGUUGGUUUUGUGGGUUUUUUUAGUCAAAUAUUGGACUUUCUAAAAUCCUGCAGAAAAUCGAGCACCUUUUCUGCCCCUUCUUGAUGCAGUAAUAUUUCUAGAAAAUAAUUUAAAAAACAAUAAUAAUAAACACAGUUCCUUGUGGCUGAAAACAUUUUGUUAGAAGUAAAAAUACCUCAGUUAAUAACAUAACAAAGUUUUGAAUGUCACCCAGUAAAAAGUACAAGGUGCCACAAGUGUCCUAGGGAUAUCAAAUCCACUUAAAUAAUAAGGUAAAUGAAAAUUUAAUUAGACUUGAACCUCUGAAAAACACUAAUUUGUUAAGUCUUUUCACACAAGUGGGCCUGUGUGGGACUUGCCUUUGGGACACAAGUUACCAAGCAAUUAAAGUAAGUGCUGCGUAUCUUAAAUUCCCCUUGAUUUCAGGGAAAGAAAAGGCCAUAGGUAUAAAAAGACUCAAAGUACCUUGAUGCUACCCACUGGAAGUGCUCAACUGACUGUAGGAAUUCACCAUGGCCAGUGAGCAAAAAUAAGCAUUUCCCUUCUGUCAACACCUCAUUUGCUUCUCCCUUGAUUUUCCUGUGAUAAGGACUAAGCUCUCUUUUGGAAAUAAUUGUUGUUAAACACUUACGAAGUGUACGACAUACUGAAGAUGCCACUAUUCUGAUUAUCACUGUUCUUGCUCGCAAUAGUAGCUCAGAAGUAUUUCCAUAUUACAGCACUCUCCAUAGGCACCUCUGGAAUUCACACGCUUUCUGAUUCAGGCAACUAACAAAGAUCUGUGUCAGCAGGAUGAGGAACAUUUGGAAAUGGGAAAAAUAAACUGUCCUGAAACUCAUCAAGAAAAUUCUGUGUCUUGAGCUUACAAGUUCUGUCAUUCACUAAAUGACCUCAUCUUCUCUGUACUACUUCUCCAAUGCUUUCUGCCUUCAGAUAGUAGUACUGCUGGGAGGAAGGGCAGCAGGAGGACUUCAGAGGGAUGGAAGUCCUAUUCCCAAACAGUCCUUCCUCUCACAUGCAUUACAAUUUCAACCUUAUGGAUGAAAUAUUUGCAUUUUACCACAUUUCUGUUAACAAUGUUAUUUACUAUCAUUAUCAAGAAAUAGUAACAGUAAUCCCUGUCUAGACAAUUUCCCUUGAUGUGACCUUUCAGUACAUUAAAAAAAAAAAAAAAGUUAUUUCUUUAUCUGGGGAAUGGUUUUCUUUCUAAUAGCUGAUGUCUUGCCUUUAGAAAUUGAUAUUUCAGGAAGAGAAUUUGAAGGCAUCUAGGUCUUAUAAUGUCUAGCGAUGAUGCACCUCAGCACUUAACAGCUUUACGCACUGUCUUACAUUUAAAGGCAUAAAGCGUGUCAUUACGAGACCACAAUGCACACCUCAUCACAUCUUAUUGCUUAAUAAGGUCAUCUAGUCUGCCCACCUCAUUACGUGCAAUGGCUAAUGUCAUAUUUCUACCAUUUUUCUAGAUAUAUUUUAAAAUUCUCAAGGGAAGGUGCUUUCAGAUCAGGAUUUCAGAUCAGGAGUUCACCCGUUCCCUAAUCAGUAUCUCCCAUCAAUACUUCUUAUAAAUAUAGAGGCCUCUUGUGCUUGCUUGCUUUAAGCACAUUGCUUUAUAUAUAUAUAAAAAUAUGUAUAUGCAGUGUUCAGGAAACAAGAUAUAUAUCUCAAGUUUACCCUAAACUCCAUAGCAAGCUGAUGCAUAAGAACAUAGUUCUGUCUCAUACAUGCAAAAAUGUUAGACCCGCUUUGCAAAGAAGUUGCACUCCUACACAUAGGUGCACUCUUCAAAUCUACCACAGAGAGCCACAGUGGGAGCUGAAGGAGCAUAAUACUCAACCAUACAUGAUCCCUAAGUGAAAUGUAUAUUAAUCUUUAUGUGAAGAUCAGGAACAAGACAAAGUGGUGUACUAAAUUUGUGUCAGGUAUUAUUGCAAAUGUAUUAACUAGGCAAUAAAGUCACAUAUUUACAGUAAAAUGUGUAAUUUACUUAUUUGUGUUCAAAAAAAUCAAUGCAAACUUACUCUAUUAUUUAAUAACAUUAUUCCAGACCCAAACCUUUCAUUAUAUUAAAUAGCAUGGAACAGUGUUUUGACUGAAUGGAUUUUCUAAGUAUGCGAAUUGAACUGAAUCAAUUUUUGUAAUUUCAAGGCCAUUCACAGUGAAUACAGUUUAAAGAGUCCAAGGGAGCACUACAGCACAGGAGCACAUUCAUAGUGAAUUGCUUUGAAAUUGGCUGAAGGCUACUUCAUUUUCUUCAACUACAUUUUGAAAAGCUUGUUUCCAUGGGAUAAAUUUAAUUUCAGGUUGAACUGCUGAAUUGAUUAAACGUCUUAUUGCAUCUUGCUGUAACUUUAUUCUAAUUCCAAAGUUCUUUUUUUUCCAAAUAGUAAAAGUUAAAACAACCAUAUCUUUUUUACAACUAAAAUACCUACCUUCUCGUCAGAAACUUCUUCAGCUCUUGUCAACUAAUUUAAUUUUUUUUUCCCGAUUUUUAUGUUUUCAAUGGCCUUGAGCAGUCUUUUUGUCCUCUAUUUUCUGGCUGAACAUCAUCUCAACAAGAUGGCCAAAAAAGCUCUUGACAUUCUUUUUCCUGUAAAAUUAUAAUACUUUCAAUAGUGCAUUAUUAUGAGCAAUUGACAGGAAUGUGUCAUCAGGACUUGUUAGCAUGUUAGGAGGAGGAGAAGUGGAAAGAAGGCAAAGAAAGUUCCAAAAUAACAUUUUUAGGAUUGAGAGAAAGGAUUGGAGAGGGAGAAAAGCUGAUGGAGUAAUUUGUAAAUGUAAAUACAAAGGGGAAACAAAUUUUAAUAAACAUGGAACUGUGUAUAGACAGAAAGAAAAAUAAGUUGCUUUUUAAAAACAGAUGUAAAGUGAAUUUAGUGAUUCUAAACUUAAAACAUUAUCAGCUACCUUCUUUCCUCUCAUUUUGUAUUUCUUCCUGUAAUACUUUUUUCAGGCUACCUUCUAUGAUCAGUCAGCUUAAGAAUAAUACCUCUCACCUUUUCCAUGGAAGAUGUUCAUCAGCACUCCAGAAACAAAGCUUUCUCACCCACCUGACUGUGCAGCACUUCAUUGUCAACAGCAGAGAGGAGGCACUGAUAAUGCAGCUGAAUCUGUGCUGAAUAUGGAGCUUAUAUGACAGCAGAACUGGACAAACUGCAUUCCCCAGUCUCCCAGCCAGACACUGUUAUUUGGAUUUACAGCUGGAGGUUAAAAGCAGUUCGAUGGGACACUGCAAAACAUGACUUACCCAUAGUUCUGCACACAAAAGCACUUUACUGAGCAGUAUAUUAUCACAAACUCUACUUUCACAGCUAUCAGUAAAGGCUUAAAACAAUUUUUCAACAUAAUCAUUAUCACUGUGUGUUAUAGAUGGAAAUUGAGAUGUCUGGAUUGCAUAAAGAGUCUUACAAUCUCUUUUCCAUAACAUGAGUAUGGGAUAAACCCAUAUUAAUGGUUAUGUACUUCUAUUUGUGGUAGCCAUCCCAUCUUACUAUAACGUAAAGGAGAAUUUGCACCUAAAACAUCAUGCUUAACAACAGGUAUCUUUUGCAAUUCUGUCCAGUCUUCUUUAAUCUUAUUUUUCUACUGCUUACCUUCAAAGCAUCCUGUGGCAAUAAGCAGUAUAUUUAUGCAGUCUUGAAAAUUUUAGUAUUUUUUCUUUAUCUCAGAUCUUUUGACCCAUAAUUUAAGUUUUUUCCUUUAGUUACUCUGUUACGAGAAGCAGUAAAUAUCAUUUCUGGUUCAUGGUGGUUUUUGACGUAAUUUUUCCCCUGAUAUCUUCUUGUUCAUACUGAGAAAUAAUAAUGAGGAUAGCCACAGCCCCAACAUUUGUGGCACACCAUUUCUACCAAAUUUUUCUGAUGGUACAAGCCACUUACAUUUGAUUUGUUUCAUUUUCCUUCCUUGGCUGUUCCUACCUUUUGUUAGACUUUCUGGCUUCCACUGAUCAUGGAGCUGGCAUUUACAUAGAGCUGUCCACAGUGACUCCUCUUUCUUCUCAUUGAGAAAAAAAAAACAGUCUUUAAGUGUAUAUAACACUGGUAUUUUCUUUCCAUGCACAAAACUCUGACUGUAUCGAUACUGACUUUCACCUCUUGUUUUAUUUCCCCAUUUCCCAUGCACCUGCUAACCUGGUAAUGAAAUUUUCCUUUUAUUUAUUUAUUUCUUUGUUUGUUUAUUUUGUCAGCUUUAGUUUAGUCCAUUUUAAGGCUUUCUUUGAGGAAAGCUUUUGCAUAAAGCUCAAAGAAAGUUAAAAACAGUUUGAGAAGAAAGAAUUUGGCUUUCAGUGACUUGGAUCAGAGUAUAUGUGGAACAUUGCUGAUCCAGGAUAAACAGUGGGAAAGCUAAAGCAAUAGUUUCCGAUUUUAAAAUGUUUUGGAUCGUGACACUUCAUCCUAAGUCUAAUAAUGACAGUCCUUUCUAAGCAGCAUUACAAAUAGGUUCCACAGAACAACCCUUUUCAACAAAGAUUUUCAAAAUUUCUAGGCAAUUAUUUUAUGUAAUACUCAGCUACAGGAACUUCCACUGAGCAAUGCUAGCUCCUCUGAAGUCUCAUGCCAUCAAUCAUCAUCCAUAUUGUUUUGAUCAAAAUAGAUUCACUGCACCAUGUUACCUGAUUGCACAGGAUAUUUUCUGAAAGUUUACUCAGUUAAAAGAUUGUAAGUGCAUAUUUUUACUGUGAUCCUUCAGUGUAGAGACGGCGAGCAGCAUCUCCCAUGUCACCAUGCAAAGUACAUGAAAGACCACAGCUGCAUUUCUGCAGUCUUGCAUCCUAUCAUCAUGAUGGCUAUAUACAGUCCUACUCACUCAGGAUAGCUGCAUUUUAGUAUAUGCAUUUCAUUUCUAGGUGUUUAUAUCAAAAUUUCAUUCAUGGGAGCAUUCUGUGUCAAGUACACCCAAGAUUCAAUAAAAAGAAUAUCAUGCCCAGAAAUAUAACCUAUAAAUAUCCUAAAAACAACCUAUAUAAAUCCUGCAGUUUUAUUCUGCCACAGCUGUUCAGUGAAGUACUGCAGCAUUAUCACUAUAUUUUGCAGAUAUUUACUGUGCCUGCUUUUGGCUGUCUCCAACUGGACA